GUUAGCACAGCUCAUGUGCACUCCUACACCGCACAUGGCUGGGUCAGCACAGCUCAUGUGCACUCCUACACCGCACAUGGCUGGGUCAUAAUUAUCACACAAAAAUAUCAUUUAAUGUAUAAUAUACACAUCAACAUAAUGUAGAAACUCAUGAGUUCAUCAUGUUCAUAUCUCAUAAUAUCAAAACAUUUCAUCAAGGGCUUGUUCCCAUGCAACUUUUAAAGAAAAACUAACAAAAUAUUUCAAGUGGCUCAGUCAAGCAUAAAAUCAUUUAUUCCAAAACAUUUUAAUGCAAGUUCACUCACCUGGCAAGAACGAGAUAUUAAGUUGCUAUUUGUUUGGAGGUGUCUCUAACUAUUUUCACUGGCCGGUCGCUCGUUAUUUACUCCGGCACGACCCCACAAUACUCUAACUUUAUCUUUGCAUUUCCUAGCAAUAAUACGAACUCAAUAUAUUUAAUUACAUAUGUAUUCGAACAACACUUCAAUCAAUUAAUCCUUACUCAAAUUUAUAUUUUUCCUCCUAUCAUGAAACCAUCUUCAAUUAACUCACAUCUUAAUACAUUUUUACUAAAAUUACUUAUAUCCAUUGCUUACGUAAUUCCUUAAAUUAUAUCACCAGUAACUUAAUUAUAAUGUCAUGUGUCUACUUCAGCAUUUAUAAAUAAUUUCCACCCAAAUCUAUCUUAUAUUUUCACAUAUAAUCCACAUAUAUGGCAGCAACAAUCAUUCUCACUUUCACUUGAUUAUUUCCUAGUUUACAUGCAUCAUUAUCUAUCUAACUUUCAAUACUUUGUUUCUCAAUCCUCCAUCCACAAUAUUCUUUUUUCAUUUCUUUCAAAUGACAUGCCAUACAAUCUUAACAAUUUUCAACUAGCUUAUGCAAGUAGAUACUUUCAAUAACCAUAAUUUCCCACAAUAUUCAACUAACCGUAGGCUUUAAAACAUAGUGUUAAGCUUACCGUUUUCCUUUUCCACUUUGAGUCCUUCAUGUACCCAUGGGUUUAUUGGCUUACAUGUUAUCAAUUUUUCUCCAAUCAAGCCAAUCUUUGCUGCCACAAGAGAUUUCUCUAAGUCAUUAACUCAUUUUCAAAGACUACUUAAGCCAAAAACAAGAAUUCUUACCGUUCGUUGCUUGAAUCACCAAAACCAAGCUUUUUCUUCCUUUCUCUCUUUUUCUUUCUUCUUCUCCUAGAGUUUAAAUGUGCUGGAAAUUGGGGUUAGAAGUUGUAACUUUGGUGCACAAGAAGUUGGGAGAAGAAUGAAGCAAGAAGAAAAAAGAAAUGAAAAGAAAACAAGGAAAGAGUAUGAAAGAAAAUUAGUUUUCCAUGGGAGAAUGAG
rnacentral:lncRNA from 1 species